UACGAAGGGGGCUAGCGUUGCUCGGAAUGACUGGGCGUAAAGGGCGCGUAGGCGGCUUGCACAGUCAGGCGUGAAAUUCCUGGGCUCAACCUGGGGACUGCGCUUGAGACGUGUGGGCUUGAGUUCGGGAGAGGAGAGUGGAAUUCCCAGUGUAGAGGUGAAAUUCGUAGAUAUUGGGAAGAACACCGGUGGCGAAGGCGGCUCACUGGACCAUUACUGACGCUGAGGCACGAAAGCUAGGGGAGCAAACAGG
rnacentral:rRNA from 1 species